rnacentral:rRNA from 1 species
CGGUUACGGGCGGCUGAGUNNCCGUAGGGGAGACUGNAAUUCCCGUGUAACGUGGAAUGUGUAGAUAUCGGGAGACANNCCAUGNNCGAAGGCAGUCUUCUGGCCCGUUACUGACGCUGAGGAGCGAAGCGUGGGGGAGCGANCAGGAUUAGAUANCCUGGUAGUCCACGCCGUAAACGGUGGAUGCUGGAUGUGGGCCCCGUUCCACGGGUUCCGUGUCGGAGCUACGCGUNNAAGCAUNCCGCCUGGGGAGUACGGCCGCAAGGCUAAAACUCAAGAAAAUUGACGGGGGCCCGCACAAGCGGCGGAGCAUGCGGAUUAAUUCGAUGCACGCGAAAGACCCUUACCUGGGCUUGACAUGUUCCCGACCGCUCCAGAGAUGGGGCUUCCCUUCGGGGCGGGUUCACAGGUGGUGCAUGGUCGUCGUCAGCUCGUGUCGUGAGAUGUUGGGUUAAGUCCCGCAACGAGCGCAACCCUCGCCCCGUGUUGCCAGCGGAUUAUGCCGGGAACUCACGGGGGACCGCCGGGGUUAACUCGGAGGAAGGUGGGGAUGACGUCAGAUCAUCAUGCCCCUUACGUCCAGGGCUUCACGCAUGCUACAAUGGCCGGUACAACGGGAUGCGACGCGGCGACGCGGAGCGGAUCCCUGAAAACCGGUCUCAGUUCGGAUCGCAGUCUGCAACUCGACUGCGUGAAGGCGGAGUCGCUAGUAAUCGCGAAUCAGCAACGUCGCGGUGAAUGCGUUCCCGGGCCUUGUACACACCGCCCGUCAAGUCAUGAAAGUGGGCAGCACCCGAAGCCGGUGGCCUAACCCCUUGUGGGAUGGAGCCGUCUAAGGUGAGGCUCGUGAUUGGGACUAAGUCGUAACAAGGUAGCCGUACCGGAAGGUGCGGCUG